rnacentral:rRNA from 1 species
GACAGAGGGUGCAAACGUUGUUCGGAAUUACUGGGCAUAAAGCGCACGUAGGCGGUCCGCUAAGUCGCGUGUGAAAUCCCCCGGCUCAACCGGGGAAUUGCGCGCGAUACUGGCGGGCUCGAGAUCGGGAGGGGUGAGUGGAACUCCAGGUGGAGCGGUGAAAUGCGUAGAUAUCUGGAGGAACACCGGUGGCGAAAGCGGCUCACUGGCCCGAUACUGACGCUGAGGUGCGAAAGCUAGGGUAGCAAACGGG